rnacentral:lncRNA from 1 species
CAUUUGAGCAUGCGUGAAGGUUGCUAAGCAACUGCCUAUUUCCCAGAAGAAGAUUUAAUAAGUAGUUUCCGGUUCGGAUCAAAACCGGUUAUAAAACUGGUAUCAAACCUGAAAUUACUCAUAAUUAUAAGUUUUUGGAUUGUCGGCUCCACAAAGAAUAUAUACAAGUUCUGCAGAGUCUCUCUCGUGCUGAGAAGAAAUACAAGAGGACUUUGCUCGCAGGGUAAGCCUGUUACUGAAGUCAAUAAAAAGUGGACAGUGAUUGGGAUGCACAAAAAUAACAACCAAUCAAAAUGGCGAUUGUUAAUUAUGUAUCAGUCAAUUCCAGCAGUGCCCAUCCCCCCGAGGUAUUAGCCAUUUCUGGGAAGAAAAUGGCUAUGUCCACAAGCCAUUUGCAAUCAAAUUAAAUAUCAGUUUUCCAGCAAAUCUACCAAAUCCCCCAUGAUGGAAAAUGUCAAAAUCCUCACCCCAGGGCUAAAAAAUAUCGGCAAUAGCCCCACCCCCGUGAUUAGGAAAAGCUGCAAAGGCCCAGGGGUGGGAACUGCUGGAAUUAAUUGAUACAUUAGAUUAUCAAAGCUAAUUUAAAAUAUGACAAUAACGGCCAACUUUUCCACCAAUAUCUCAAAACUAAAUAUUCCAAUUUUCAUCGAAUGGCCAGGAAUUACAUAUUAAAUAAUAAUAAUAAUAACUGUUAUUGACUGCAGCAAAGGCAGUCAUUAACAUGGCCAAAAGUAGUUAAAGUACAAUUACAAGUACGGAAUAUCAUUACGUAAACAACAAUUUGGCAUUACCUUAAAAACAAAGCUAUUUAUUUCUGACCAAUGGGAAUUUUGCGUACGAAUCAUGUGCAUCAAUCCUUUUUACUGACCUCAGUAGCAGGCUUUAUUUCAAGCAUAGAGCCUGACACGCUAGUUACUUUUAAUAACCCAUUGAGUUGCAUUGACCCCCCCACACACACUUAAUUUCAAUACAUUGUUUUCACCAUUGUGUUUAUACAACCUUGCAAAUUUACUAGUAGGAAUUUCCAUUGUGUUUGCAGCCCUUACACUUUGUGUUUCAUUAUGGCAUCUUGACCUUGAAAGAGUCUAUUACUGUGGCUCCAACAUUUUCCCGUUCGGCGUUAGAAACACACUACAUUGAUCAUAAAAUGACUGGAAUAUUACAGAUUUAAAAGCCUGACACCUAGCGGCAAAGUUUAAAUUUCACACAAGUAGUGAUGAAUGAUGAUCACUGUGGUUGUAUUUCGGUCUUGUUAGGCUACACCAUGUUCUUUUGACCACCUAUCCGUAACAGGAUUAUUUGCAUCAACAGCCGUAAAAAAAGCACCCAAAUAAACAGCAGUUUGCGAAUAUUAUUGUUGCGAUUUACAAAGGUUGCGGCCCGUUCCAAGUUCCAACUUUGUAAAAUUGAAAAUUGUGAACUUUUGUCCUCUAUUUCAAGCUUGUAGCCUUCCAAGUUUACUCACAUAAAAUGACUUUCGCUUUAUAAAGUCUGUUUCAUCGGAAACCUUUUAAGGUUCAUCGGAAAAAUAAAAAGAAUAUGUACAAAAUCGAU